rnacentral:lncRNA from 1 species
GUUUUCCUGGUAUUUGCUCCUGUCUAUGGCAGUCUGAAAUAUGCUGGGACCUUGUAACCUUCAACUUGGUCACUUUUCCAACUAAAGAUCUCUGGAUUCCUCCAUCUCCAACCACCAUGUUCGGUCUAAAGAGGCACCAGAGAGUUCCAUACAGCCUGGAGUAUGAUGAAGGAACCAGCUAUCCCAGGAAGUGGCAGCAACCCAGCAUUCUCAAAAGAUGGCCAAUGCCCCCCAGAGCAUGGGAUAUCAGCGAAAGCACAUAUGGAUUUUUAUCUCCCUAUUUUCUGCACAAUUUCCUCUGAUCCCUGGAAAGUGAUCUGCAGAGUGGAGAAACAGAUGGAAAGAAGAGUGUGCUAUGGAGCUUGCUGCAGAGAUUGGGCCACACAGAAGGAUCUAUGUUCCCUUGAGUUUAACUGCAUAACAUUGUUUUUACUUGAAAGACAGUACAUCUUAACUUACUGUCUUCUAAUGCAUUCUCACACAAAGAGUGACAGUUGUUAUUUUUUUCAACUGCUCUAUACAAGUCUGCAUGACUACCCAUUUAAAGGAUGUUGGAGUGAUUUUUUCCAUUAAAAUCAGAUGUAAUAAUUUGAAUUGGAUUCUUAACCAUUUAGCCCGAGCCCUUGAAAUUGUAGAGAAAGAGUUUUUACAUCCAGCUGAGAAUCUGAAUUGCAUGGUUAUCAUUUGUUUUUAGUUUGAAAUAAGCUAUUAUUGUGACUUGGAUUAUUUUAAAUGUGUUCUCUAAAUAAAAUAACACAAGAAAUAAAUAAGCUAACAUGGUUUUGCCCAUUUUGAUAACUCAUAGAAACCAAAACCCUGAUAUGAUCUUUCUCCCUGUGCUGUGUGUGUGUGUGUGUGUGUGUG